rnacentral:rRNA from 1 species
AGAGCGAACGCUGGCGGCAGGCUUAACACAUGCAAGUCGAGCGGGCGUAGCAAGUACGUCAGCGGCAGACGGGUGAGUAACGCGUGGGAACAUACCUUUUGGUUCGGAACAACACAGGGAAACUUGUGCUAAUACCGGAUAAGCCCUUACGGGGAAAGAUUUAUCGCCGAAAGAUUGGCCCGCGUCUGAUUAGCUAGUUGGUGAGGUAACGGCUCACCAAGGCGACGAUCAGUAGCUGGUCUGAGAGGAUGAUCAGCCGCAUUGGGACUGAGACACGGCCCAAACUCCUACGGGAGGCAGCAGUGGGGAAUAUUGGACAAUGGGCGCAAGCCUGAUCCAGCCAUGCCGCGUGAGUGAUGAAGGCCCUAGGGUUGUAAAGCUCUUUUGUGCGGGAAGAUAAUGACGGUACCGCAAGAAUAAGCCCCGGCUAACUUCGUGCCAGCAGCCGC